UCUUAUUAUAUUAAAGAAAUCAAAUGUUUUAAGCAUGUUCAUGCAUCAUGAAUACCAUGUUAUGUAAUAGGUUGUUUGCAUUAGAAUUCACGAAUAUGUUGCAUUGCAUAAUUUGAUGAUGAUGAUGUGGAUGGAUAUUGGAUGAUCCUCUAGCCCUCACUAUGAUACCAUAUGACAUGAGAUGAUACGAUAUGAUAUGAUAUGAGAUGGAAAGACUAGGUGUGGCC
rnacentral:lncRNA from 1 species